UACGAAGGGGGCUAGCGUUGCUCGGAAUCACUGGGCGUAAAGCGCACGUAGGCGGCUUUUUAAGUCAGGGGUGAAAUCCUGGAGCUCAACUCCAGAACUGCCUUUGAUACUGAAGAUCUUGAGUUCGGGAGAGGUGAGUGGAACUGCGAGUGUAGAGGUGAAAUUCGUAGAUAUUCGCAAGAACACCAGUGGCGAAGGCGGCUCACUGGCCCGAUACUGACGCUGAGGCACGAAAGCGUGGGGAGCAAACAGGAUU
rnacentral:rRNA from 1 species